GAUGAACGCUGGCGGCGUGCCUAAUACAUGCAAGUCGAGCGAACGGACGAGAAGCUUGCUUUUCUGAUGUUAGCGGCGGACUGGUGAGUAACACGUGGAUAACCUACCUAUAAGACUGGGAUAACUUCGGGAAACCGGAGCUAAUACCGGAUAAUAUUUUGAACCGAAUGGUUCAAAAGUGAAAGACGGUCUUGCUGUCACUUAUAGAUGGAUCCGCGCUGCAUUAGCUAGUUGGUAAGGUAACGGCUUACCAAGGCAACGAUGCAUAGCCGACCUGAGAGGGUGAUCGGCCACACUGGAACUGAGACACGGUCCAGACUCCUACGGGAGGCAGCAGUAGGGAAUCUUCCGCAAUGGGCGAAAGCCUGACGGAGCAACGCCGCGUGAGUGAUGAAGGUCUUCGGAUCGUAAAACUCUGUUAUUAGGGAAGAACAUAUGUGUAAGUAACUGUGCACAUCUUGACGGUACCUAAUCAGAAAGCCACGGCUAACUACGUG
rnacentral:rRNA from 1 species